rnacentral:rRNA from 1 species
CGGAUACGGGUUGUGAGAGCACUAGCCCGGAGAUGAUAUCUGAGACACGAUAUCAGGCCCUACGGGGCGCAGCAGGCGCGAAAACUUCGCACUGUGCGAAAGCACGACGAGGGAAUCCCAAGUGCUAGCUCGUAAGAGUUAGCUGUUUUUCUGUCUAAAAAACAGAGAGAGUAAGGGCUGGGUAAGACGGGUGCCAGCCGCCGCGGUAAUACCUGCAGCCCAAGUGGUGGCCGCUAUUAUUGGGCCUAAAACGUCCGUAGCCGGUUCUAUAAAUGCCUGGGUAAAUCGUACGGCUUAACCGUACGAAUUCCGGGUAGACUGUUCAACUUGGGACCGGGAGAGGCUAGAGGUACUCCUGGGGUAGAGGUGAAAUUCUGUAAUCCUAGGGGGACCACCAGUGGCGAAGGCGUCUAGCUAGAACGGGUCUGACGGUGAGGGACGAAGCCCUGGGGCGCAAACGGGAUUAGAUACCCCGGUAGUCCAGGGUGUAAACGCUGCUCGCUUGAUGUUAGUCGGGCUCCGAGCCCGACUAGUGUCGGAGAGAAGUUGUUAAGCGAGCUGCCUGGGGAGUACGGUCGCAAGACUGAAACU